rnacentral:sRNA from 1 species
UCAUGAACAACGCAAAAACACAACGUUCCUGCAAAAGCGUUCCUACGAGGCUGCUUUACCAGUGCCCAUGAAGUACGGAAAUCGUCUAUUGGAAUGGAGAUGAAUCAACUUGGCCGAUCUUGGGUGCAGUGCCAGUCUUGUCCUUUGGAUAUGACUGGGAUUGCAAUGAUUGGCCGCACAU